UACAUUGGCCCGGUUUCUUUAAACCUUAUUUCCCAAAAAAGCAAAUUAAAGGGGGUCCAGAACCAAGUGAAUCUACAUCAACAGAUUCAUUUGAUUCAUUCAGAUUUCUCUUUUUCAUUUCAGGUUCUUCAAAAUCUGUUGGUGUUGAUGUGCAAAAUUACUAAUAUUGAUGGGUGACUGGCUGCCUGUGUUCCCGAUUUAAGGGCAAAAGGCGUACAGAGAAGCUGCCAAUAUUUAAUUGAUUUAUCUUUUUCAUUUCAGGUUCUUCAGAAACUGCUAAAGGCGUUCAUCAAAUACAUGACCCUGGUUUUUCUGGAUCGGCUGGUGUUUAUAUGCAAAUUACUAUAUUUGAUGAAAUAAAUGGCUGCCUGUGUUCCCGAUUCAAUGGCAAAAGGCGUUCAUCAAAUACAUGACACUGGUCUGACCACAUAUACAUGGUUUACUAAAUUUGAUGAAAUAAAUGGCUGCCUAUGUUCCCGAUUUCAAGGGCAAAAGGCGUUCAUCAAAUACAUGACACUGGUCCGGCCACAUAUACAAGUGGCUGCCUGUGUUCCCAAUUUCAAAGGCAAAGGGCGUUCAUCAAUACACAUGACACUGGUCCGGCCACAUAUAUAAGGUUCUUCAAAAUCGGCUGAUGUUGAUGUGUAAAAUUACUAGUACUGAUGAGUAAAUGGUUGCCUGUGUUCCCGAUUUAAGGGCAAUUGGCGUUCAUCAAUAUACGUGACACUGGUCCGGCCACGUAUACAAGGUUCUUCAGUAGCGGCUGGUGUUGAUGUGCAAAAAUUACUAAUAUUGAUGGGUGAAUGGCUGCCUGUGUUCCCGAUUUCAAGGGCACAAGGCGUUCAUCAAUAUACAUCAAUAUACAUGACACUGGUCCGGCCACAUAUAUAAGGUAAUUCGCAAAU